rnacentral:rRNA from 1 species
UACGGAAGGCAGCAGUGGGAAUAUUGCACAAUGGGCGCAAGCCUGAUGCAGCCAUGCCGCGUGUAUGAAGAAGGCCUUCGGGUUGUAAAGUACUUUCAGUCGUGAAGGAAGGUGUUAAGGUUAAUAACCUUAGCAAUUGACGUUAGCGACAGAAGAAGCACCGGCUAACUCCGUGCCAGCAGCCGCGGUAAUACGGAGGGUGCGAGCGUUAAUCGGAAUUACUGGGCGUAAAGGGCACGCAGGCGGUUAAUUAAGUUGGAUGUGAAAUCCCCGGGCUUAACCUGGGAAUGGCAUUCAAGACUGGUUAGCUAGAGUCUUGUAGAGGGGGUAGAAUUCCAUGUGUAGCGGUGAAAUGCGUAGAGAUGUGGAGGAAAUACCGGUGGCGAAAGGCGGCCCCCUGGGACAAAAGACUGACGCUCAUGUGCGAAAAGCGUGGGGAGCAAACAGGGAUUAGAUACC